UUGAUCCUGCCAGUAGUCAUACGCUUGUCUCAAAGAUUAAGCCAUGCAUGUCUAAGUAUAAACAAAUCUAUACGUGAAACUGCGAAUGGCUCAUUAUAUCAGUUAUAGUUUAUUUGAUGGUUCUUGCUACUUGGAUAACCGUAGUAAUUCUAGAGCUAAUACAUGCGUCAAACCCGGACUUCUGGAGGGGUGUAUWUAUUAGAUGGAAACCAAUGCGGGCAACCCGGUAUAUGGUGAUUCAUAAUAACUUUCGGAUCGAUCUUCGGAUCGAUGCAUCAUUCAAGUUUCUGCCCUAUCAGCUUUGGAUGGUAGGGUAUUGGCCUACCAUGGCUUUAACGGGUAACGGAGAAUUAGGGUUCGAUUCCGGAGAGGGAGCCUGAGAAAUGGCUACCAACAUCCAAGGAAGGCAGCAGGCGCGUGAAAUUACCCAAGUCCUGACAAAGGGAGGUAGUGA
rnacentral:rRNA from 1 species